UAUUAUGGUUGCUACUUUGUGAUAAUAAAAAUGAUUUUAAUACAACACCGACCCAACAAAGGAAAAGGGUAUAUUUUAGAGAAGCUAUUUUAAAGAAGCUAUUUCACAUGAUGGCCAAAGAUUCUUCCAAAUUUUUUUUUUACUAUUAUAAUGGCAAAUAAAUUCACUGUGACUGGUUCAUUUAUUCACAAGUGUCUUUAUUUUUUGUGCAUGUUUCCCCACAAUAAUACAACAGAAUCAAAUUUUUGUAACCAUGAAAAAGGUUUCAAAUAUUAGAAAAAUUUAGACAGAAGCUGUGACCUUGAAAAUUUGAUGUCUCAUUGUGAUGCUGUCUAAAAUGGGAAGUGUUUCUGAAAAAUAUUCAAACUGACAGUUUAAUAGAUGAUGUUUUGCAGAAGAUGACAAAAUCAAAGAAACAAAAAUCACAAUAUAUUGAGUGGUUUUAGAUGUUACACUUUGAAGAAAACAAUUUAAAUCUUAAGAGAAUCACAGGAAAUUGUUGGAAAUCCAUGUGCCUGGUCUAAUAAAAUUCAAAACAAGUAUACCAUGUUACAAGCAAAUCACAUGAGUUCUGAAAUACUGUCAAUAAUGGAGCAAGUACUUUUUAUUUUUUGCUUGUACACAAGAUGUAGCCCAUCGUGAACAAGCAUGUCUGACCACGAGAUCUGCUCACAUGAAGAACAAUGUCAUAACAAUAAAGUAAGUUGUACUGACUUCAUUGAAAUGAAAGAUGAAACUUUCUAAGUCUAGCUUAUGAAAUUAGAGGUUGGAAAUAAAAUUUAAAAUGCCUGUGGCCAGGUAUAGUCUAAUGGAGAAAAUAUAGCCUGUUAUACAAGAGUUUAUAAGACAUUUUGCCCCCAAAUAUGAUUAUGCCAAAUUUGUGCUUCCUCAGCUCAUAAAAAUAUGCAUAAAUGCUGCCCUGGGAAAUCAAAUGUUAACCAUUUUUUAGCAUUUAUAUAUAUGUAUAUGGAUACAUAUAAUAUACAUAUAUAUUUUGUGUGUGAAGUUUUAAAAAUGGAUGCACAGAUGGGAUAUUCUUAUGUCUGUUCUAAAAUCUACAUUAAAAACACAUCCAGAUAUCCCGUGAGGAUCAAGAUUAAAUGUAAACAAGGUAUUUCAUAUACAAAGGCACUUAUACUGAAAUAUAUAUUAAAUGAAAAGCAUACAUCAAAAGCAUCUUGGCACAAAUGCAUUAUUUUAUACAAUCUGUGUAGGAUGUUAUUAUAAACCAGUGUAAAAGUUAAUGUUUAUACAAUUAAAAAAAAAGACUAUACAUUGUUGUACUCUUAGCAGAAGGCCUUUACCUUUGCUUAGAAAUAACAGAAACUUUCAAUGUUUGAUUAAUGUGAAAUCUUAGCAAAAGAUAUGGGCUACUGUUUGAACUUUAUGAAAGGCAGCUAUGCUCACCACUAUCUUACCAAUGCUGCACUUGAAUUUUAAAAUUAAAGUAUAAAAAUUGGAAAUGAAUCACUAGAUGAGUGUCAAUUAUUAUAAAACUGCAUAUCAAAUAGAAAUUAAAGAAACUAUAGAUGCCUUAAUUUUCACAUUGUAAAUGAUUAUAUGAAAAAGUGUCUUACAUUUUGAAUUUUUAAAUGGAGAAAAGUUUUCUACGGAUAACUCUUACACAAAGCAGUCACUUACUUGACUCAAAUAUCCUAAAUCCUAUAUAUCCAUCUGAUAUAGUUUUAAGCAGCAUGCAGCAUCAGUUAUUAAAUAGUGUUUGCAUCUUCUAAGGCUGAUUCACAAAUUUGUUUAGUGCAAUACUUUCCAAUUUGAACAUGGCCUUGAGAAGGUUGUUAGCAUUCCCAGUCACCAUGUCAUCCUAUAAGACACUUCAGUAAGCUGCAGUAAAUGAAAAAUUAAGAUCACUUCAUCAAAAGAAAUUAGCAUGGCAAUUCUCUCCUUUCAAAACAAGGUAAGUAGUAGACUUCGGAAAUAUUGAUGAGUUCAUUUCCACUAAAACCAGGAAAGCAAGAUUAUUGGUUGGUUUUUGUAUAAAUAAACUAUUUUGAUAUAUCUACUUUUCAUUUUUCAACAGGUUGUUAACUACUUCGGUGUUCUGGGAAAAAAAAUAUUAGCCAUUAAAAAUAAUUCCCUUUUGCUUUAGGCUCCAGUAUUAAAUCUGUGGUAGCUCAGAUGGUAAACCAUCUGCGUGCAAUGGGGAAGACCUGAGUUCAAUCCCUGGGUUGGGAAGAUCCCCUGGAGAAGAAAAUGGCAACCCACUCCAGUACUCUCGCCUGGAAAAUUCCAUGGACGAGGAGACUGGUGGGCUACAGUCCACGGGAUCACAAAGAGGCGAGCAGGGCUGAGCGACUUCACUUAGUACCUUUGUGCCAGUAUCACAAGGAGGUCACAGAGUGGUUGCCUCUGAGUGGACUGGGGGUCAACCAGUCUGGGGUAAUGGGAACACUCAGUAUCUCGAUAAGGGUCUGAGUUACAAGAAUGCAUACACUUGUCAAAAGAGUGAAUGUUCACUUACAAGCCGGGCAUUUCAUUGUUUUAUAUUAAAAGACUAUCACUAAUGAACUCUAGUUAAUGUACAUGCUUAAGUAUGUAGGGGCAAGCACAUUUGAGGCUAAAAUUGAUUUUGAAUGCAUCAAAAAUAAAAUGAAUUAAAAGAUGGUUGCCUAGAUAUAACAGUCUAGUAAAACGUGAGUGGGAUCAUCGGCAGUGGGCGUGCAGGUGUGUAGUGAAAAAUCCCUUCCACUUUGUGCUUGCAAAUUUCCAUAACGUGUCGAGGAAAAAGGGGCUGAGUCCUCUCCUUUUUGCUCCCAGUGCUGGCCCACCUGAGGGCUGCUCCGGUCCGGGACUGAGCCUGGCUCCCCUUGCCCGAGUGUCUCCAGGGGUCAGUGCUGGGGCACAGUGUCCCCAGAGUGGAGUGGUCAAAUGCCAAGGGGCUGGAUGGAGCCCGGGAGGAUAAGCAGGACCCAGGGCUGGCCCAGGGGAGGGGUGGCGAGGGGCGGGGCCUGGGGCCCUUCUUCCCGCCUUCCCUCCCCCUUUCCUUCCAUCUUGUCAAGCCAGGGCAGUCAAGGUUGGCAGGUUUGCCGGUAAAGAAAGAGCCAGUCCUUUUUAACUUACACAGCCCACAAACAGAAAAACAGCAUGAGGUGCCAGCUCCUGGCGGGCCCUGGGCAGGGGACACCAGACAGGGACACCAUGCAGCUUCGGGACACCAUGCGGCUGGGGCCGCCCUGCCUCACCCAGCCCCUCUGGCUCGGCCUCCUGGGGCACCCGGGGCGCCCAGGCCUUGGCGGAGGCUCUUCCCAGGCUCUCACCAACACCGAGAUUUAGCUGUGGUUCAAGCCUUGACUGUGUGGCUUGUGCGGGCCCCUAUGCUUCCUUCUCGGAUUUCCCCUGUUGCUCCUCCACUCCGCGGAGACUGGGGGCCUGAUCCUGCUCUGAUAAAAAUGCAAACAGCUCCUGAGCUUAAGGAAAGCGGCUCUGUCUCCCGGAGGAGGCGGGAAAACCUAGUAAGCAGAGGCCCGGGGAGGGCUGACGCAGGGGCGGCAUGGACAGAACAGUGUCCACAGCGCACCCUACAACUCUCUGGGUACAUCUAUCUCAGGGUGCGACAGCCCAGGCUACAGUUUCUAAAACGAGAGAAAAACACACAAUUGUCACACUGGACACAGUAUGACCAUCUCUGGAGACCCAGGCCUGGGGGAUGGUAGGAAGAGCACAGAGUGGGGCGGGGGUUUGGCCCCCAGGGGCCCCCACUGAAUGAGCACCCUGCGAGGCCCCCCAGGGUGAGCAGAAUCUAACAGCACAGAGGGACAAGCUGCCAUUGCAGACGGGGGUCACGGGGGGCCUGUCCCCCCGGGGAGGUGCGCUCUGAAGAGGCCCACGUGGCCAACGGAUUGAGCCCUCCGGCAACAUGGAGAAAAGGAUGACGUUCCCCUAGUAGCUCGUGAGGAGCCGAAUCCCGCCAACGUGAGUGAGCCUGGACCCUCCAGGUGGAGCCUGUGCACGGGCCACAGUCCCCGCCGACACCCGGGUACAGCCUCGCAAGACCUCGAGGCAGAAGCCCCAGCCGGUCUUGGCUGGAUCCCCGACCCUCAGAAACUGAGAUAACAGAGCUGCGUGGCCCUGCCACGCGCUGGGACAACAGACCGCCGUCUCAUCCUCUGCGCUGUGAGCUCCCUGCUCUAGGGCCCAGGGAAGGCAGGGGGACUGUGGCAGCCUGGACACCUUCCUGGGAAGCCAGGCGCUCAGAGCCUG
ensembl:lncRNA